CUAUCUGAAGCUGUCUUCUGGGCUGCGGUCCUCAUUUUGCCCCCAAAUAAAACCUAAAUCACAGCUCUCACCUUGUGCAAAUUGUUUUCAACACCAGCAUAAGCGCCUCUGUCUAAACCUGCUCUCUGCACAAAGAUGGAGGAUAGGAAGUUUUUCUUUCUUCCACACCACCUGAACUGAGACCAGUGUCUCUUCCAACACAAAAGACUGCUUGGAGCCUGUUUCUACUGGCGUGAAAAAAGAAAGAACUUACCUGGGCUCUGAGAAGCCUUGCACAGUUGGCCUGGACUCUGUCCUGUCUUGUACGGAUUUACUAAAUUCCUGGAGCUUGGGUUCCCACACCCAGGAGAGGCAUUUGUUUGUCUCUCCACACAGAACACCCAGCAUCUUCAGAGGGGUCAGGGUGUGGUGGGAGAGGGGUUCAGGAGUCUUAGCUUCCUUUAGAGAGUUCACCCAGCUUGUCUGGGGAAGAAGAGCAAAAAGACAACAGAAGGAUACAUUCCGGAAGUCUCUCCUGUCACUAGAGGGGCACACAAGUGGCCAGAGAAAGCCUCUUUUUCGUGGAACGUUCCAGGUCAACCCUUGCCUCACCUUCUCUCCCAGCUGGGAGUUAUGAGCACAGUCUUUCCCAGUUGACUGACUCUUUUCUGCCAGGAAGGAGACUAAAGGAUUCUUCUGGAGACCCGGGUCAAGAGAAAGUCCUACUGAUGUAGAAGUUCGGUUUCCACAAAGAAAGGCACAGCAGAGGUCCUCAGCAUUGGGUACACACAGAAAUCAACGGGUGCUUUAAAAAUUGCUAAUGCCGGGUCCCACCCCCCACAAGUCUGAUUUAGCUGUUUCGCAGUGAGAACAGGUAUCGGGCGGUUCGAGAGCUCCCCAGCUGAUUCUAACAUGCAACCAAGCUGAGCACUCUGCUGGCUGCCAGUGAAGCUCAGUCGCUAAGCUCCACCCACUGCUCAGUUUCCAGUCUGAUUUUUGACGCCUGUCCCCCAAAAUGGGAGCCGACAAGCAUCAUCAGAUAUCUGAGAAACAGAUGAGGCCAAAACUAACAGAAAGCAACUGCGAGGGCCACACCCUGGUGGCUCAGUGGUAAAGAAUCCACCUGCCAAUGCAGGAGACAUGAGUUCAGUUUCCAGGUUGGGAAGAGUCCCUGGAGAAGGAAAGAUGGGUGCAGGCCUGCCUGGACCUGGCAGCUGUGCCACAGCUCUACCUAGUUAUUGCCAAGCAGGAAUGUGAGCUCCAUGGCACCAUUUUUGUUGUGAUUUUUUUGUUUUUUUGUUUUUUUGAGAAAAACUAAAACUUGGGUUUUGAGGGCUCAGUCAGUAAAGUAUUCACCUGCUAAUGCAGGAACCCUGGGUUUGACCCCUCGGACAGGAAGAUACCCUAGAGAAGAAAAUGGCAACCCAUGCCAGUUUUUCUUGUCUGGGAAAUGCCAUGGACAGAGGAGCCUGGCAGGCUACCAACAGCGGCAUUGCAAAACAGCUGGACACAACUUAGCACCUAAACAACAAAACUUUAAAAGGAACAUUGAGAAAACAGAGCUCUUAAAAAUUAAAACUAUUAUCACAGAAAUGAAAUUCAAGAUUAGAG
rnacentral:lncRNA from 1 species